AGUGAACGCUGGCGGUAGGCCUAACACAUGCAAGUCGAACGGCAGCACAGUAAGAGCUUGCUCUUACGGGUGGCGAGUGGCGGACGGGUGAGGAAUACAUCGGAAUCUACUUUUUCGUGGGGGAUAACGUAGGGAAACUUACGCUAAUACCGCAUACGACCUACGGGUGAAAGCAGGGGAUCUUCGGACCUUUCGCGAUUGAAUGAGCCGAUGUCGGAUUAGCUAGUUGGCGGGGUAAAGGCCCACCAAGGCGACGAUCCGUAGCUGGUCUGAGAGGAUGAUCAGCCACACUGGAACUGAGACACGGUCCAGACUCCUACGGGAGGCAGCAGUGGGGAAUAUUUGACAAUGGGCGAAAGCCUGAUCCAGCCAUACCGCGUGGGUGAAGAAGGCCUUCGGGUUGUAAAGCCCUUUUGUUGGGAAAGAAAAGCAGCAGGUUAAUACCCCGCUGUUCUGACGGUACCCAAAGAAUAAGCACCGGCUAACUUCGUG
rnacentral:rRNA from 1 species